rnacentral:rRNA from 1 species
AUUGAACGCUGGCGGCAGGCUUAACACAUGCAAGUCGAGCGGAGUGAUGGUGCUUGCACUAUCACUUAGCGGCGGACGGGUGAGUAAUGCUUAGGAAUCUGCCUAUUAGUGGGGGACAACAUCUCGAAAGGGAUGCUAAUACCGCAUACGUCCUACGGGAGAAAGCAGGGGAUCACUUGUGACCUUGCGCUAAUAGAUGGGCCUAAGUCGGAUUAGCUAGUUGGUGGGGUAAAGGCCUACCAAGGCGACGAUCUGUAGCGGGUCUGAGAGGAUGAUCCGCCACACUGGGACUGAGACACGGCCCAGACUCCUACGGGAGGCAGCGGUGGGGAAUAUUGGACAAUGGGGGGAACCCUGAUCCAGCCAUGCCGCGUGUGUGAAGAAGGCCUUAUGGUUGUAAAGCACUUUAAGCGAGGAGGAGGCUCUUUUGGUUAAUACCCAGAAUGAGUGGACGUUACUCGCAGAAUAAGCACCGGCUAACUCUGUGCCAGCCGCCGCAGUAACAC